UACGGGGGGGGCAAGCGUUGUUCGGAAUUACUGGGCGUAAAGGGUUCGUAGGCGGCUCUUUAAGUCGGGGGUGAAAUCCUGGAGCUCAACUCCAGAACUGCCUUCGAUACUGUAGAGCUUGAGUUCGGGAGAGGUGAGUGGAACUGCGAGUGUAGAGGUGAAAUUCGUAGAUAUUGGGAAGAACACCGGUGGCGAAGGCGGCGAGCUGGCCUGUAACUGACGCUGAGGCGCGACAGCGUGGGGAGCAAACAGG
rnacentral:rRNA from 1 species